rnacentral:rRNA from 1 species
UACGGAGGAUGCGAGCGUUAUCCGGAUUUAUUGGGUUUAAAGGGUGCGUAGGCGGGCAUUUAAGCCGGCGGUCAAAUGUCGGGGCUCAACCCCGGCCUGCCGUCGGAACUGGGUGCCUUGAGUGGGCGAGAAGUAUGCGGAAUGCGUGGUGUAGCGGUGAAAUGCUUAGAUAUCACGAAGAACCCCGAUUGCGAAGGCAGCCUGCCGCAGCGUUACUGACGCUGAAGCUCGAAAGCGCGGGUAUCGAACAGG